UCUACCUUACAGUAGCAGUCCUGUUAGAGUUCCCAGCAUUACCUGAUGGCAACUAACAGCAAGGGUUGCGCUCGUUAAGGCACUUAAGCCGACACCUCACGGCACGAGCUGACGACAACCAUGCAGCACCUAGUUUCGUGUCCCGAAGGAAAGACCUGUUUCCAAGUCCGUCACUAACUUUCAAGCCCGGGUAAGGUUCCUCGCGUAUCAUCGAAUUAAACCACAUGUUCCUCCGCUUGUGCGGGCCCCCGUCAAUUCCUUUGAGUUUCACCGUUGCCGGCGUACUCCCCAGGUGGAAUACUUAACACUUUCGCUUUACCGCUGACAUUAUAUCGCCAACAGCUAGUAUUCAUCGUUUACUGCGUGGACUAC
rnacentral:misc_RNA from 1 species